UGGUUUGUCGCGUUGUUCGUGAAAUCUCACGGCUUAACUGUGAGCGUGCGGGCGAUACGGGCAGACUUGAGUACUGCAGGGGAGACUGGAAUUCCUGGUGUAGCGGUGGAAUGCGCAGAUAUCAGGAGGAACACCGGUGGCGAAGGCGGGUCUCUGGGCAGUAACUGACGCUGAGGAGCGAAAGCGUGGGGAGCGAACAGGAUUAGAUACCCUGGUAGUCCACGCCGUAAACGGUGGGUACUANGUGUGGGUUUCCUUCCUUGGGAUCCGUGCCGUAGCUAACGCAUUAAGUACCCCGCCUGGGGAGUACGGCCGCAAGGCUAAAACUCAAAGAAAUUGACGGGGGCCCGCACAAGCGGCGGAGCAUGUGGAUUAAUUCGAUGCAACGCGAAGAACCUUACCUGGGUUUGACAUGCACAGGACGCCGGCAGAGAUGUCGGUUCCCUUGUGGCCUGUGUGCAGGUGGUGCAUGGCUGUCGUCAGCUCGUGUCGUGAGAUGUUGGGUUAAGUCCCGCAACGAGCGCAACCCUUGUCUCAUGUUGCCAGCGGGUAAUGACGGGGACUCGUGAGAGACUGCCGGGGUCAACUCGGAGGAAGGUGGGGAUGACGUCAAGUCAUCAUGCCCCUUAUGUCCAGGGCUUCACACAUGCUACAAUGGCCGGUACAAAGGGCUGCGAUGCCGCGAGGUUAAGCGAAUCCUUUUAAAGCCGGUCUCAGUUCGGAUCGGGGUCUGCAACUCGACCCCGUGAAGUCGGAGUCGCUAGUAAUCGC
rnacentral:rRNA from 1 species